ACGAGGACAGCCGGGCACCCGCCUGGGAAGGGCUUCCCGCGCCAGCCGCUCCCGGGCCCGGCUCUCCUGCCUCGAACUUCCCUCUCCGCUUAGUGCCAACCCCUGACCGUGUCUUUCCUCGCUACUCCUCAGCGCCCAGGGCAAAGGAUACUCCGUGUGCCCUAGUCACCGCCAGCUCCUCUCUCCUCCUGCCCCCGCUCCAGCCUCCUCAGGGUGCGGUGAGAAGUGAUAGCGCCAGCCGCAGGGCCACUCGCUCUGAUCCUGCUCUUCCCAUCCCUCCUUGUCACAGGCACUCUACAGCUCUCCCCUAGGUAUGGGGGACAGCUCCAGCCCCUCUCUGUCUUAUUUUCUUUUGCCAGGGUUUAUCAAAUCUCCCCACCCAAUAACACUUUGCAUCUAUAUUUUACAUUCACAUAUAAACUGUCCACUCACAGUAACUUGCUCCUUUCUGCGUGGCGGAAAGAUACUGGCUUCCUAAGUGGUGAAGACAUUUCAGUUCAGAAAUAAUUGGAUACAACAUCGAAAAGCUUUUCUUCGGUUUUUAUUUUAAAAAUACAUCAGAUUCUUCGUUUAGUUCUUGUUUGCCCCUUGAGUUGUUUUGUGAGUUCUGCUUAUUGUUCAAUAGCCCCAUAUGCAACAGUUGCUUCAGAUCUUAAUGGCUUAAAAUCUAUUCUUUUUUAUUUUAUGCACUCCGUUCAGAGGGAGUAAUGCACCAUAAUUAUUGGUAUCUGCAUCAUGCUUUCCAUAUGGUGAGGGAUACAUUUGGAAACCUCGAUGGAUAUCUUUGAUCUGAUAAUGCAUAAUCAAUCCCUUAGUUUUGUCAAUAGAGUGUUUACCUCUAUUUUGUACAUUGCUUUCUCACUGAGUCCAAGUGCUGCUUUGAUGUGAUAAACUGUUUUCUUUUUUUUUUGUAAGUGUGUAAAUCAGUAAUGAUAUUAGUGUUCCUUUGCAAUGAAGAGGGUUGCAUAGUUAGCACAUAGUUGUUUGUUUCAGAUAAAAAAGCUGGGAUUGUGUUUUUCAGCAAUGAGUUACUGCUUCCCAAAAUGCUGACCUUACCUAGAGACAAUGAAAAGUCAACUUUAAUCGUUGAUUUUUUUUUUCAAGUGUUGCCUUCAGAGCAUCACUUUAACAGUUUGCCAUGUCUUAAUUGCUAACUGACCUUGUGUCUGGGAAGUCCAAAAGACUGGAAAGUAUUAAAAUGCUUUCAUUGGAUUUCAAACACUGAUACUAAAUUAUAUCUAAAGAAUAAUGAACUACAGACAGGCAGCAAAUAUGCACAUUUUGCUUUGUAAAUCGUUAGAUUGCUGUACCAUUUCCUAUCUCCACAACUCCCUAGAGGUUGCACUUAUCUUUUCCUCACACAUCUGUGGCUUUAUAGAGAAGAAGAAUUACUCCCAUAUCACAUUACAUUCUUAAUUUUGGUCAUUAAUCUUUUAAGAUGCUCGUAAAAAGAAAUUUCUGCCUUGUCAAUAUAAAUUCUUUAAAAACUGGGACACAACUCUUUCCCCACCUUCUAAGCAUUAAUCUGCACCAAAAAAUCCUGUUGUCCAUUUUAGAAAAGAUUUUUUACUACUUUCAAUGCGGUAUUGCUGCAGGACAUAACAUCUACCCUGGAAUAUUAACUCUCUACUUCUUUUUGUACAUACAGAUAAAUACUGGAUGACUGCUAUACUAAUGCUUCAGAAAAUAAAACAAAAUCUAUUGUUUAGAUUGAAUGUCAUGCCAAACAGGACUGACUUUCAAGCUCAGACCACGGGGCUGCUGGGAAAUAUAGGGGAAAAAUAUGGCAGGGAGGCCUCUGUAAAGGAUAUGUGGAUUGUGCGAUUACAGGCCAUCGUAAUGCCCUAGGCGUGCCAUACAAUACUUAUUACUGUGGUAUUAGUAGAGCCCUGCAAAUCUGCGGAUAUCUGCUUGAUAUCUGUGGACCACAUUUGCAGAUAGGAUGAGGAUACAAAUUUUGUAUCUGCCCGCAGCUCUAGGUAUUAGUACUCACUUUUAACUUUAUUACAUUGUAACAGUACAUGUCAGGGAAAGAAUCUUGGGUACAGAGUUUUAAUAAUAGUGAUGUAUUCUCUGGAAUACCUGUGCUUUUUGAUUAGCUCCCUCUGGGCAAAGGAAUUUAGUAUAUAGGCUCUGAGGAGGUGAAGCCUAGGUGCCUGGGGUAGUUAUACCUAAAUUUUUCUUUCAAGGAGAAUAUUGUAGUGAAGUUUUGUGGUGUUUACUGUGUCAAGCUAGUUUGAUUUCACUUCAUUAUGUAAUCAUUUUAUUAUGGAAAGAACUUUAAUGGAAUAAAAGUAGAUUCUGUUGGUAAAAAAGUCACAAAGUAAGAUUCUCUUAUUCUUGACUAUUAACACCACUAAGUUUGUCUUCCAUUUUGGGCUGUGGCUAUGAGAGGCAUCUCAGUUUUAUUUAACAAAUAAUUGUCCAUUAGCUAUAUGGAGACCACGGGUCAGGGAAAUAACCCACUUGCUCCCUUGAUGAACCACCCUGCCCAUGUACCUAUUCACUACACCAAUACUGACUUGGAUUCUAAAUACAUUCUGUGGGUGGCAAACCCGAGAUCACUUAUUCACUGAUGCUUUAAAAACUCUCACACUGCAAUCUGGGUCUAUGCUGGUUGUGUACUAUGUAUGUAUCUUGUGAACCUUGUAACCGAUACUUGUAAUCUCUCAUAACUCAAGCCUGACCCCAGAUGUACAGUAUCUUUCUUCUUGUGUAAACUUGAUUUUAAACAUGAGCUUUUAUAACAAGUAUUGCUUCUUCCCUGUGGCCAUGUGGCUUUGGCUUGCUUCAAAAAUACAGAGCAACUAGAGGUGGUGGUGAGUCAGAAAUGUUCCUGAAAAAAGAAGGUGCCUUAGGUGUUCUAGAAAGUGUUCUACCAAGCCCUGUUGUGGAGAAGGAACUAUGUGGUUUGAAAACUGUUUGAUACGAGAUGCUGUCAGAGGGUAAAUGUUAAGCAAAGUUGUAAGAUGGGUAUGUUACGGAAUAAAAACAAAAAAAACCCAUAUAUGCCAGAGGAUGCAUGGAGACACAGAGGCUUGGACCCCUGGAGGGAUGCUCCACCCAAACUGCUCUUUAGGAACAUUGUGGUUUGAAUUUGAAGACUCAGCAGCUGGAGAGAGGGAGCAGAUUCAUCGGUUGGCUCCUGUGGCUGGAGAAAGGAAGCUUUUGUGACCAUAUCAAUCCCUAUUACAGUAUAAACUAGGAAGGUUACUGAAAGUUUAUUGAUCCGUUUGUGUUGUUUACUCAGGUUAAACAAAAGUUUAGUGUUUUGUCAAACUUAGAAGUUGGAGGCAUAGUCAAUUGGUAGGUAUUGAAGAGAUCUGCAGGACCCUUGACAUAAUUAAGAAAAACAGCAAAAAAGGAGCCCGAUAUUUACAGGCAAGGAGAUGAAGAUGAAGGGAUAAAAAGGCUCAGCUGAUAAUGUGGUGACAUUGAAAUUGAAUAAUGUGUGUUCAAAAGAAGGGGCAGGUUGUGCCACUUGUCCACACUCUGGAACUUCCAUUGCUAGUGUCAGAAUUUUUACAAAAAAUUCUAAGUUUAAUCAACACUCAUAAAGAAAUCACCUUGAAGUUGACCUUUGACAGAACAUCCAGUGGGUCACUAGCGGAAAGACUUAUGCCAUGUACUAUCAGUGCUCAGAUCCCAUGCUGAAUGUUUGGAGAGAAAGGUGGGUGGCUGAAGCUUCUUGCACAAAUGUAGUAUUUUUAUGGGGUAAAACUAAGACAAUGAUGGAGAAGCUUCAGUUUUAGCACACAAUUGACACAAAUUGAGGCAAUACACACCUCUCUAAAUUAAGCAGUCUCUCUGUAGAUUGAAGAAGUCAGUGCCAUAAGUAGUUUGUUAGAGGGUUUCCUUUGCUGCUAGUGGGCUGAAAACUAGAAUCCCAUGAAAUCCUUUUUAUUUUUGUAUAAUUUUUCAUUCUAUUUUUUAGGAAUUUCUUGUAUUUUCCAUCUUCUUUACCCAUCUAGGGUUGGGUCCUGCUCCAGUGGGGUAUGCAUGGAAGGCCUCAUUGGGGGUGGGGGUGUUGGGGGGGGGGUGCAGAAUGAGCCUGCCCCAAACUCUCACAGGAGCUUUCUCAUGGCGUUGGGUCCAGCUCCCCGCUCCGGGCAUUGCAACCUGGCUUUUGGGAUGAUAGCAAUGCCCAAGUUUGGCCCAGCUGCCUCUCCGUCAUGAUUACUGGGCUGCUGGGCCAAACCUGAGCGGGACACAAGGAACAGGAACUGCUGCAGCAGGGUGAGUUUUUUGUUUCAUGUUGCUUUAAUCAUUGGGUUUUGAUCUAUUUUGGGGCUCUUUUAAUAACUGUAAAACAGAAAGCUUAAACUGAGCAGUAACUGGUGUGGUGAUCAGGCAAGUGUAUUUGACAGCCCUAUUGAAUUAAUUGCUUUGUAAAGUGAAGUUCAAAAUUCUAACUCCGGUCAAACUUGACUGGACAAAGUUUAGCGUAAUGGUGAUGAAUAAAAUAAGUUUCUAAAACCGAGUCACUAGUUAAUCUACCAUUUUAAGAGAAGUUAUAGUACUGUGAACAAUUACCUGUAAUUAGGAAGUAGUUUAUAAAAUAAGCUUUGUGAACUAUCUUCCUGGCAAGUCUUUGAUCUUAGACUGGUUUCUUCAUAAUUACAUACACAGAAUUAUUGCUAGGCUGUGAAUCUGGAAAUGUAUCUUUCAGAGCUAGUAAAACUAAGGUAAAUAUAUCGUAUGCUCAGACUGAAUUUUAUUUAUAAGCACAUUCAACUACUAGUUUGUGCUGUGUUCUGGCUUUCUAUUAGUAUUUAAGCACAGUGGUUUUUAGAAUUAAAAUAAUUGUUUUGCAGAAUUGAGGGAAUAUCUUUUAGCCUUUCAGCAACAACCCCAAAUGAGCAUAGGAGAUUAUUAUACAUCAAUAAAUGUCUCAUGAGAGGUUGUAGAUAUCUUGGCCUGCAGCUGUGGUAAUUUGAAUAUUUUUCCCUUGUACAUACUGCAUAGCAAAAGAGUAAUUAUCUAAAAUUGAUUAAGCCAGUUCUAGCCACAAAUAAUUAUCAAUCAUAGAUCAAUGAAGAUCAGUGGGGAUUUCUUCAGUAAACAUGGCCUUUAGCUCUGCGAAAGGGGUGUGUGUGUGUCUGUUCGCGCAUACUCCAGAAAAGACUGUCUUAGGCUUUUAGAAUUAAAUGACUGCUUUCUUCUACAACUAAUACCUGUCAUCUGUGAUAUCGGGGGUGGGGGGAGGGAGGGUGAAGGGAAUGUUCUGUGAAUAGAACAUGUGUGAGAAUGAAAGGUGCUGAUACUGCUCAUGAGAUGUUUCCCACACUCUAAGAUAUACCCUUAAUAGUUAAAAUAAAAAUAACAUUAUUUGGAUAAAACUGAUAUUCUCUGGGUAAAGUGCUGCUUCUUCCCUGUCCCCCCACAAAAAGUCAUCAGUUCUACACUCUUCCUGCUACCUCUGUUCUAUCAGUCCUUGCAGCCUCUUUCCCACUGUCUUUCAAAUCAUCGUGCUUUCCCUUUCCCAGUACUUCACUGAGGGCUUGACUGCACUCGUACUUUGGAGUGCAUUAAAUCAGCCCCAGGUGCCCUAACUCCUGAGGUGUCCACACUGGCAAGGCACAUAGAGUGCCCGGACUCCACGGCUGGAGUGCCCCCGGUAAUCCACCUCCAUGAGAAGCAAUGAGCUCACUACUCCCUGGCUGGAGUGCCUCGGUGCUAGUGUAGAUGCCCUGGUCUAUUAAUGUGCUCUGAUCGGCCUCCAGGAAGUGUCCCACGAUGCCUGUUCUAGCCAUUCUGCUCAUCACUUUGAAGUAUACUGCUCUGCCCUCAGGUGAACAACCAUCAGACUUGCCCUUUAAAUUCUUUGGGAAUUUUAAAAGUCCCCUUCCUGUUUGCUCAGCUAGGCCUGGAGUGCUGUCAGCGCAUCUUUCCAGGUGACCAUGCCUCCACAUGCCAGGCGAUCCCCAGUAUGGAACAAUGGCGAGGUGCUGGACCUCAUCAGUGUUUGGGGGGAGGAAGGUGUCCAGUCCCAGCUGCGCUCCAGCCGUAGGGAAUUAUGAUACCUACCGGCAGAUAUCAAGGGUCAUGAGAGAAAGGGACCAUAACUGGGACGCACUGCAGUGCAGGGUUAAAGUGAAGGAGCUGCGCAAAGCCUGCUAGAAAGCGUGGGAGGCAAACCUGCUGGUUCUACAAAGAGCUGGACGAGAUACUUGGAGGCGACCAGACCUCCACUCUGAAGAGCACCAUGGACACUUAAGAGGCUGUGGCAGCCCAGAGUGCAACAAGGCACGAGGAGGAAAGCGGGAACGAGGGUGCUGAGGAGGAGGGGGCCCAGAGCCAGAGGACGGUCCAGCAUACCUAGACGCAUGCAGCCAGGAGCUGUUCUCAAGCCAGGCGGAAGGUAGCUGGUCGCAGCUGACAGUGUUUGUAGAAGAACAAACAGCAGAUGAGGUGCUUGAUGCAACCUUGAGAUCUCAACUGUCCUUGUUAUCAGUGGCUGAAAGGCUGCAAAGACUCAAGAAGCAGCCACGAAGAAUCAAGGAGAACCUUCUGCAUGAAGUCAUGCAGCAGUCCCUUACUGAAAAUAAAAAAGUCCAGGAGUGAUGGGAGACCGAAAGGAGGGUCCACCAGGAGAAUGUGGAUCAUCUGCAACAAACCAUGGAGUGGCUCCUAUGCAUUAUGGAGCGCCGAUCGGGCUCACUGCAAGCACACAUGGCACUGCAUACGGAGCAGAUCCAUGUCCCUCCUCCUUCCCUGCCGCAGCCCUUGUCUCAAAACUCUUGUUCCCCCAGAUCACUGCCAACCCACUUUUCCCAACAUCUGGUUUCUUAUUGCCACCAGCUGCCUCCAAAACCUUUAGCUUCACUGCCCAGCCCUGCAAACUACGACCCUUACCCACUGCAGUUGGCCCCCAUCACCAUGCAUUUUAGCCAGCCUGAAGUACAGAACUCAUUGCACGGCACUCCAGACAGGAAGGCAGAAUAUGAUAACAGGACAUACAGAAAUCUGUGAUUAUUCUGUUCCCCACCCCACCCCCUUCACUCCUCCCACACAGCACAGAUGUGUCAUGCCAUGUGUGUUUCUCCAGCAGUUGUUUCUUUUCAAUAAAUGAAUUUUUUGG